UAGUCCACACCGUAAACGAUGAAUGCCAGCUGUCGGGUUGCAUGCAAUUCGGUGGCGCAGCUAACGCUUUAAGCAUUCCGCCUGGGGAGUACGGCCGCAAGGUUAAAACUCAAAGGAAUUGACGGGGGCCCGCACAAGCGGUGGAUUAUGUGGUUUAAUUCGAAGCAACGCGCAAAACCUUACCUGGGCUUGAACUCCUGAGAACACGAAGUAAUGUUCGUGGUGCCCUUCGGGGAAUUUAGUGAGAGGUGCUGCAUGGCUGUCGUCAGCUCGUGUUGUGAAAUGUUGGGUUAAGUCUCGCAACGAGCGCAACCCCUAUCUUUAGUUGCCAGCAUUCAGUUGGGCACUCUAGAGAGACUGCCUGGGUUAACCAGGGAGGAAGGUGGGGACGACGUCAAAUCAUCAUGGCCUUUAUGCCUAGGGGCUACACACGUGCUACAAUGGUGCAUACAGAGGGUANCGAAGCAGCGAUGCGGAGCCAAUCUCAGAAA
rnacentral:rRNA from 1 species